GAAUGGGACUAAGGCAAAGGAAAAGCCUAACCGGGAUCUCAUGCUAUCAGCUAAAUGCAAAGACGUUCAACCUUCAAAUUCAAAAUCCCUAAUGUAACGAGCUUGUGGCCUUCAGCCGAUUACCAUUCGCCCCUUCGACCUUCAACCUUCAACCUUCAAUCGAAUCCUCCAAAGACACUAGCAACCUGCAAUCAAACCUUCAAAAGCAUUCUCAACCUUCAAUGGAAUCCUCCAAACGCACUCUCAACCUUCCUGCGAACACAAUUACGAUAACCGCUUCCCAAGAUCGUGCUUCAAGAUGCCAUGGAAACCUUCGGUCGUACUCAGAAUCGCUUCCUGCAAAUUGCAUUGUAUUCGCUUCGAAUUCAACAAUCGUGGAAUCACAUGGAAGAUUAGGCACAACGGAAUCCAAAGCUUAGGUUGAUCUUGAUAAUCACUUCUGAAUCGCAGACUUGAUAAGAACGAUGAAGGAGAAUUUAUUCCGAAGGAAAUUGCAUCAAUAACUUACGUGAGGUUUUCAUAUUACAUAGCGAAAUCCGAUGCGGUUUCGACGAUGUUAGCGGCUUCGUAGGGCUGACUAUGGGAUUUGGAUCAUGAUUCAAGAAUUCUUGGAGUAGAGCUAUAAUGAAAGUCAAGGCGAUGACUUCAAGAAACAUGGCUCACCUAUGAAUGAAGCAAACUUGGGAUUGAAGCCAUAAGGAAAUAUGGACAAAUGAACAAACAUAGUGAACAUUUAGGAUUAGGCUUAUGGUUUUAUGUAAUUGUUUUUAUGCAAAUUCCUUUGUCGCUUUAUAAUGGUUUGAACUUAGCAAUGUAAAUGGUGAUGAUUUGAAUGGAAAAUUGAGUGAUGUUUGUAAUUGUGAUAAAUUAAAAUCUGUAAAUGGUUUGCAUAGUAUUGAAAAAUUAUUUGGAAAAUGAAA